rnacentral:rRNA from 1 species
GACGGAGGGUGCUAGCGUUGUUCGGAAUUACUGGGCGUAAAGCGCACGUAGGCGGCUUUGCAAGUUAGAGGUGAAAGCCCGGGGCUUAACCCCGGAAUUGCCUUUAAAACUGCAUCGCUAGAAUUGUGGAGAGGUGAGUGGAAUUCCGAGUGUAGAGGUGAAAUUCGUAGAUAUUCGGAAGAACACCAGUGGCGAAGGCGACUCACUGGACACAUAUUGACGCUGAGGUGCGAAAGCGUGGGGAGCAAACAGG